rnacentral:tRNA from 1 species
AUAAAGAUAAGCUAAAUAAGCUAAUGGGUUCAUACCCCGUUCAUGAGAGUCAAUCUCUCUCUUUUUA